CCCAAACUCUGUAUGCCAUGGGCUCUCCAACCCUGUUCUUGCAGCUACUCGGUGCUUAAUUUGGGAAACCAACUGAAAUCUGUUCGGGAACAUCGAUAGUAACAUGUUUUCACAGUGACACAUAGUUCAUUAAACUUGACAGCCCCAUGGGAGGAGAUGGAAACUCACUGUGGUAAAAUAUUCUGUAGCUAAAGGCUUUGAAACAACAUCCACAACUACCAUGUUUCCACUCUUCUUUCUUCAAAUUGAUCAAUCGCAGUGAGAUCACAUCUUUUGGACUGGCUGGAGGAAUGACCACCAAGGAGACUGUGUGGAAAAUACUAACAAAACUCCUGACAAAUGCCCUGGCCAUGAAGAGGAACUGGAGAGGGGCCAAUGGGAUGCAGGCAUUCCAACCGCUCACCCUGUAAGGCGUAGUUCUCAGUGCUGUCUGGCAAAACCACCAUAGAACCAAAGCUUCUGAUGGUGAAAUUGAGAAAUACAUCAAGAGGUGGAUGCAGCUGGCCUCUGACUGAGACGAAGGGAGAAAGAAGAUAGCGCGACUGAGGGGAGAAGAAGAACAGAGAAGAGAAGAUGACCAGAGUGGAGUAGAGGAGUGAUGUCACUACACCCUUCACUAUGCCCUACCCACUAAGCACAAUAACAAGGGAAUGCUGUUACCAUAACAAAACCAAUUUCGCUAAGAGGAAAUCUUGGUGCAUUUUAUUUUUACUAUGCA